GACGAACGCUGGCGGCGUGCUUAACACAUGCAAGUCGAACGGAAAGGCCCUGCUUUUGUGGGUUGCUCGAGUGGCGAACGGGUGAGUAACACGUGAGUAACCUGCCCUUGACUUUGGGAUAACUUCAGGAAACUGGGGCUAAUACCGGAUAGGAGCUCCUGCUGCAUGGUGGGGGUUGGAAAGUUUCGGCGGUUGGGGAUGGACUCGCGGCUUAUCAGCUUGUUGGUGGGGUAGUGGCUUACAAAGGCUUUGACGGGUAGCCGGCCUGAGAGGGUGAACGGCCACAUUGGGACUGAGAUACGGCCCAGACUCCUACGGGAGGCAGCAGUGGGGAAUAUUGCACAAUGGGCGGAAGCCUGAUGCAGCAACGCUGCGUGCGUGAUGACGGCCUUCGGGUUGUAAACCGCUUUCGCCUGUGACGAAGCGUGCGUGACGGUAAUGGGUAAAGAAGCACCGGCUAACUACGUG
rnacentral:rRNA from 1 species